CCUACGGGAGGCAGCAGUGGGGAAUAUUGCACAAUGGGGGGAACCCUGAUGCAGCCAUGCCGCGUGUGUGAAGAAGGCCUUCGGGUUGUAAAGCACUUUCAGUGGUGAGGAAAAGUUAGUAGUUAAUACCUGCUAACCGUGACGUUAACCACAGAAGAAGCACCGGCUAACUCCGUGCCAGCAGCCGCGGUAAUACGGAGGGUGCGAGCGUUAAUCGGAAUUACUGGGCGUAAAGCGCACGCAGGCGGUUUGUUAAGCUAGAUGUGAAAGCCCCGCGCUUAACGUGGGAUGGUCAUUUAGAACUGGCAGACUAGAGUCUUGGAGAGGGGAGUGGAAUUUCUGGUGUAGCGGUGAAAUGCGUAGAGAUCAGAAGGAACAUCAAUGGCGAAGGCAGCUCUCUGGCCAAAGACUGACGCUCAUGUGCGAAAGUGUGGGUAGCGAACAGGAUUAGAUACCCUGGUAGUCCACACCGUAAACGCUGUCUACUAGCUGUAUGUGUAUUUAAUACGUGUGUAGCGAAGCUAACGCGCUAAGUAGACCGCCUGGGGAGUACGGUCGCAAGAUUAAAACUCAAAGGAAUUGACGG
rnacentral:rRNA from 1 species